AACUGAUACUACCUGCGGGAACCUGCGGAAGGAUCAUUACAUGAUUUGAGGGGGCUCACGUCCCCUCAUCCAACCCACAAACCCCGAGGAACUUUUAUGUCGAGUGGUUCGGCGCUCUCUUUGAGAGCCGCCCCUCAAACGCAUCGCAGGCUUUUCGUGAAGGUCUGAUGUGUCACAUCGUGAGUAUUAAAACUUUUAGCAAUGGAUCUCU
rnacentral:misc_RNA from 1 species